CCCACCUGCCCAUGACCACUUGCUUAGCUCUGGUGAAAACAGCUGUGGAGAGGAAACGUGGCUUUGUCUUCCCACUCCAUUCAGAAUAUACUGUCUCCAUUUGUUAAUUCUAUCCUAUUUCUAAGACUUUGGCACAGACUUUUUCACAGUUCUUGUUAUCUGACUAUGGUUUUAAUAACAUAUGGUAAUAUUUUUCUAAUUAUACUCCCUACAAAAUAUCAGAAGAUUUCAUCUUCAAAUGGCCAUUUUAAGCAGCACAAUCUAUCCACACUAUUUUCUCACAUAAAAAGCCUCUUGAGAUGGGUAUAGAUUUAAUAUGCUAUGUUCUUGCCAAAGUAACCCUUUCACCGUAGUAUUGUGACUAUUCUCUGUAAUACUCUUCUCCAUCAGUUUUAAAGUGUUUAUUAUACCUAAGCCUUGAUUUUCAACUAUGUUGGAAUCUUUCCUGUUCAUUAAAAUAAGAUUCGAUUGCAUAUGGGUAAAGUCUAAUUUCUAAAAUUUCAUCAUACAUUUUGAACUGGCAGACUGAAGCAGUUUUGUUACUCCUGCCAAAAUAGUAAAUUCUGCAAAUAGAACUCAUUCCCCCCCCACAUACUCUAGUGCCUCUUAAAUACUUCUUUGGGUAUCUUGCUUCAUUAGCCUGUGGUGGGAUCUUCCUUUUAUUCACAUCCAAAUCUAGCUUUGUUUGCAUUAUUUCAAGCAUUUCAUGCAUUUGCUUGUAUUAUGUUAAAUAAUAAUGUAAAACAGGAAGCCUAGAAGCCUUGCCUUCCUCAAGUACUACAAUCCCCUACAAACAACAGUCUCAAUAUUGUUGAGCUCUUCCCCUACCUCAGAAAGGUGCCAGAUGUCAUUUACGUGGAGCAACAAGACUACGGAGACACCACAAGGACCAAAAGUGCCAAUAAGAUACAAAGAGGUAAAGACAUCUUUUCUAACCUGGCAACUGGGCACUCACGGUCUCAUGCAACAGAAGAGAGAAUCUGCACCACAGAGAACAAGACCCCUUCAAUGUAUGCAGGUAAGUCUUCUACAAAUGCAUAUAGAUGUUAUUACUUAAUAUACAUAACAAAACAGACACAAUGAAAAAAUGCCGAUUAAUUAUUAACAUAGGUAAACUUAAUUGGCUC
rnacentral:lncRNA from 1 species